UAAUACGUAGGGUGCGAGCGUUAAUCGGAAUUACUGGGCGUAAAGGGUGCGCAGGCGGCUCCGCAAGUCAGGCGUGAAAUCCCCGGGCUUAACCUGGGAAUGGCGCUUGAAACUACGGGGCUGGAGUAUGGCAGAGGGAGGUGGAAUUCCACGUGUAGCGGUGAAAUGCGUAGAGAUGUGGAGGAACACCGAUGGCGAAGGCAGCCUCCUGGGCCAAUACUGACGCUCAUGCACGAAAGCGUGGGGAGCAAACAGGAUUAGAUACCCUGGUAGUCCACGCCCUAAACGAUGAUGACUAGUUGUUGGAGGAGUUAAAUCCUUUAGUAACGCAGCUAACGCGAGAAGUCAUCCGCCUGGGGAGUACGGUCGCAAGAUUAAAACUUAAAUGAAUUGACGG
rnacentral:rRNA from 1 species